rnacentral:rRNA from 1 species
GACGAACGCUGGCGGCGUGCUUAACACAUGCAAGUCGAACGGAAAGGCCCUGCUUGCAGGGUACUCGAGUGGCGAACGGGUGAGUAACACGUGGGUGAUCUGCCCUGCACUUCGGGAUAAGCCUGGGAAACUGGGUCUAAUACCGGAUAGGAGACAUUUUUAGUGUGAUGGUUGGAAAGUUUUUUCGGUGUAGGAUGAGCUCGCGGCCUAUCAGCUUGUUGGUGGGGUAAUGGCCUACCAAGGCGGCGACGGGUAGCCGGCCUGAGAGGGUGGACGGCCACAUUGGGACUGAGAUACGGCCCAGACUCCUACGGGAGGCAGCAGUGGGGAAUAUUGCACAAUGGGCGCAAGCCUGAUGCAGCGACGCCGCGUGGGGGAUGACGGCCUUCUGGUUGUAAACUCCUUUCGCUAGGGACGAAGCUUUUGUGACGGUACCUAGAUAAGAAGCACCGGCUAACUACGUG